GUAGUUAGCCGGGGCUUCCUCCUCAGGUACCGUCAUUGCGUUCGUCCCUGAGGACAGAGGUUUACAAUCCGAAAACCUUCUUCCCUCACGCGGCGUUGCUGGGUCAGGCUUUCGCCCAUUGCCCAAUAUUCCCCACUGCUGCCUCCCGUAGGAGUCUGGACCGUUUCUCAGUUCCAGUGUGGCCGAUCACCCUCUCAGGUCGGCUACCCAUCGUCGCCUUGGUGGGCCGUUACCUCACCAACUAGCUAAUGGGACGCGAACUCACCCCAUACCGGAUUGCUCCUUUGACCUCAACGCCAUGCAGCGUCGUGGUCUUAUGCGGUAUUAGCAGAUGUUUCCAUCUGUUAUCCCCCUGUACUGGACAGAUUGUUCACGCGUUACUCACCCGUCCGCCGCUAGAACACAGACCGAAGCCCGUGUCCCCGCUCGACUUGCAUGUGUUAGGCACGCCGCCAGCGUUCGUCCUGAACCAAGAUCAAAUUCUGA
rnacentral:rRNA from 1 species